GAUGAACGCUAGCGGCAGGCCUAACACAUGCAAGUCGAGGGGCAGCACGUAAAGUGGUUUACCACUUUUGGUGGCGACCGGCGCACGGGUGCGUAACGCGUAUAUAACCUGCCUCGAACAGGGGGAUAAUUCGGAGAAAUCUGGUCUAAUACCCCAUAACAUCCGGGAAGGCAUCUUCCUGGGUUAAAAGCUCCGGCGGUUCGAGAUGGAUAUGCGUGACAUUAGCUAGUUGGUACGGUAACGGCGUACCAAGGCAACGAUGUCUAGGGGGACUGAGAGGUUAACCCCCCACACUGGUACUGAGACACGGACCAGACUCCUACGGGAGGCAGCAGUAGGGAAUAUUGGACAAUGGGCGCAAGCCUGAUCCAGCCAUGCCGCGUGAGUGAAGAAGGCCCUCGGGUUGUAAAGCUCUUUUGUCCGGAAAGAAAAGCGCCGGGUUAAUACCCUGGUGUCCUGACGGUACCGGAAGAAUAAGCACCGGCUAACUUCGUG
rnacentral:rRNA from 1 species